CAGCCGCCACGGGAAUACGUAGGGUGCGAGCGUUAAUCGGAAUUACUGGGCGUAAAGCGUGCGCAGGCGGUUCGUUAAGACAGAUGUGAAAUCCCCGGGCUUAACCUGGGAACUGCAUUUGUGACUGGCGAGCUAGAGUAUGGCAGAGGGGGGUAGAAUUCCACGUGUAGCAGUGAAAUGCGUAGAGAUGUGGAGGAAUACCGAUGGCGAAGGCAGCCCCCUGGGCCAAUACUGACGCUCAUGCACGAAAGCGUGGGGAGCAAACAGGAUUAGAUACCCGCGUAGUCCCUGUCUCUUAUAA
rnacentral:rRNA from 1 species